ACUCAAAUGAAUUGACGGGGGCCCGCACAAGCAGCGGAGCAUGUGGUUUAAUUCGAAGCAACGCGAAGAACCUUACCAGGGCUUGACAUCCCUCUGACUGGUAUAGAGAUAUACCUUCUCUUCGGAGCAGAGGAGACAGGUGGUGCAUGGUUGUCGUCAGCUCGUGUCGUGAGAUGUUGGGUUAAGUCCCGCAACGAGCGCAACCCCUAUCUUUAGUUACCAGCACGUCAUGGUGGGGACUCUAGAGAGACUGCCGGGGAUAACUCGGAGGAAGGUGGGGAUGACGUCAAAUCAUCAUGCCCCUUAUGUCCUGGGCUACACACGUGCUACAAUGGCCUGUAACAAAGGGAAGCGAAGCUGUGAAGUGGAGCAAAACCCAGAAACCAGGUCUCAGUUCGGAUUGUGGGCUGCAACUCGCCCACAUGAAGUCGGAGUUGCUAGUAAUCGCGAAUCAGCAUGUCGCGGUGAAUGCGUUCCCGGGCCUUGUACACACCGCCCGU
rnacentral:rRNA from 1 species